rnacentral:snoRNA from 1 species
CCUCGGCAUGAUAACUGGACGACCGUCUCAAACAUCCUACGACACGAGUCUUUUAAGUUGCCGAUAGAACAAACCACCAUAUGCGGAGAUCUUACACGUUUCUCGGAGUCUUCACUGGCAAUCACACAUGACGUUUAUACGUUUAAUCUUCCGCAACAGUC